UGGAGUAAUUAACAUUUUCAAAAUGGCUGCCCUGGUUACGUGGGUGAUGUCAACGGGGGUGGACGCGGCAGACUUCUCCCAGAUCCUGUUUUGGCCCGCCGAGUUGAAGAUCGAUCCGUCCAAACUGGAUUUCGACAUGGAUAUGUCAGAUGAGAUCCUCAUCACUGACAUCAUCGACCAGCUCAACCAUAAAGUGGCAUUUAUCACAGGUGGAAAGACGCAGGAAGGUUAUCCAAUCAUCAAUAUGCCGGAGUGUCCCAAAUUUAAUCUGGUCCGAGAUGAAGAAUUUGUCAGGCUCAUGACGUAUCUCGUCAGGAUACCCAGUUAUUUCCAAGGACUACGAUGUGAUUCUGAAAGUCGUCUAGAAUUUGACAGGGGAUUUGUUAUAAUCAUUGAUCGAUCCACGACCUCAUGGGGCGACGUCAAGACGACCUUGAUAAGAAUAGCGGAUUAUUAUCAGGGAUACUUUCCCGGAAUCAUCCAGGGCGUCUAUGUCAUCAAACCAAGAGGAUUCCUCCAGAAGACCUUCUCCGAGAUGCGCUUCAAGGGCCUCAAGGAUGAAUUCAAAUUCAAGAUCGAUCUUGUGGACAGCACCUCCGAACUUCAUGCUCGGAUAGAUCCCUCGCAGCUUACAGGAGAAUUUGGCGGCACUUUGAACUUUGACCUCAAGGGCUGGAUUGAAGACAGAAUGGCUAUCGAGCGGUUUGCCAGCAACUGUCGGGAGCGGUCGACAACCGUUCGUGCCUUGACGGAAGAACUUCAACUGAUGGAGAUGCCCAACAACGCGGAGAAUGCCACCAUGCUGCUGAUCGAGCAACGGAAGCGUCGUAUGGAGGUCAAAGAGGACCUGGUGUCAGCGGUCAAGUACGGUCAGACGUUAUUAAGCUGUCUCAGGAAGACGACGGGCGAUGGGAAGGAGAAGAAUCCUGAUAAACUACUUACAACAUGUGCAAUAGAAAAAUUAUUAGAAGAACUAGAAGUCUUAGAGAAGGAGUUUGAUGACACUUGGAGCGACCAAGAAGCCAGGUUAAUAUUCUGCCUCAAAGUCAGGAAAUAUGAAGAAGAAUUCAAAGUGGUAUUAUUACUGAUUGAGAAUAUAACAGAGAAGAUAAACUCUGAAAGCAGCAUAGGAAACGCAAUCGAGGAAUGCAACACAUUCUUAGAAAGACAUUCAGAAUUGGAAGAAGAAAGCAAAGAGGCCUUCGACAGGUCAGAACAGCUGACCCUGACUGGAGAGGAAUUGAUGAAAAAUGAGAAGUUCCCCAUGGAGGCGGCCAGCAUCGGGCCAAAGUGCACCGAGCUGGACAGCAGAACCUCCAACCUUCAGGAGAACCUUGUAAACCGACGAACCAUGCUGGAGAGAUCACUUGAGCUCCAUCAAAGGAUACAAAAGGCCGAUGAUUGGUGCAGCGACGGCAUGAAGCUUCUAGCCUCGCAGGAAAUGGAUCAGUCCCAGUCCAAAGAGGGAGCCGAGAAGUACUUGCGCCAGAUCGACGAGGAACUGACCAGGUUUCGGGAGCUCAAACUCAGCGACCCUCGUGAGUUUCGUCAGAUGUUUGCCGACAUACUCACGAUAGAGGGAAAGUUUGAGCAGCAUAAGAAUCUUGUAAGAGACGCUGUCACGAAGAUGGAGGAUGUCAGGUCACUCUUCGAGAAGCGACGGGAAGGUCUGAAGAACAUAAUCGCCAAGUUUGAGCGACCGGUGGUCAAGAUGGCCCCCGUGGCCCCCCUCCAGCAGUCCCCGCAGUCCUCCACGUCGUCCACACCCCACAGUUCACCCUCGGCCGGCAAGCUAGGUGUCCCACAGAAUGGUAACUCUGCCCCUCUAUCACCCAGACAGAAACACAAGAAAGGCAAGGGACAGAAGUUGGACCGUAAGAUUGAGAUUAUCCGUGAUGACUCGCAACCCUUGAGUUUCAGCAGUGAUGGUGAAUUCCAAGAUGAUGUGGAUUGUAACUCUCUCAGUUAUAAGCGCAGAAUUCUCAUGAAAAUGGGUGUUUGUCCCAAGUCCUACGCCCACCAAGACAACGGUUUCCAUCACUUCGUUAUGGAAAAGAACAACUCCAAUUCCUUUAGAUCCCUUGCUCAGUAUAAACUGAGACAUGUGGUCAAGGAGUUGAUUGAGACAGAGAAGAUCUAUGUCAAGGAGUUAGAAGCGGUUUUAACCGGUUACAUCCGGAAGAUGGACAACCCUGGCCUGUCAGAGCACAUCCCACCCUCACUGCGGGGAAAUGCAGAUGUACUCUUUGCCAACUGGGAACAGCUUUACAACUUCCAUAAAAGUAAAUUCUUAGUAGAACUGGAGAACUACAGGAAUACACCCACCCUUGUUGGUAAAUGCUUUGUAGAUAUGAAAGAUGAGUUGGAUCAUUUAUACAGUGUCUAUUGCCAAAACAAACCAAGGUCAGAAUUAUUCAGGAGAGAAUGUGGCACAAAUAACACAUUUUUCCAAGAAUGCCAAAAGUUAUUAGGUCACAAGCUUCCCCUCAGUGCUUACCUAUUGAAACCCGUUCAGAGGAUAACAAAGUAUCAACUCCUCCUCAAGGAGAUGAUGAGGUAUUCACCGAUGGAGAAAGGAGCAGAUGACCUUCAGUCUGCUCUAGACUGCAUGCUAACAGUACUCAAAUACGUCAAUGACUCCAUGCAUCAAGUAGCCAUCACUGGAUAUGAUGGAACCCUUUCAGAUCUGGGUAAGCUUUUGAUGCAGGGUCCGCUCCAUAUGUGGACGGAACACAAGAGUCGUCACAACCUCAAAGACAUCCGUCAGAAGCGGAUGCAGCGUCACAUCUUCCUCUAUGAGAGGGCGGUGCUCUUCUGCAAGAGGCGAGGGGACAUCCGCGACAAGACAUUCUAUGCCUUCAAGAACAGUAUUUCGACACCAUCAUUAGGUUUGACAGAGCAUGUGAAAGGAGACAAGAAGAAGUUUGAGUUGUGGCUCGGUGGCAGAGUAGAAGUAUUCAUCUUACAGGCACCAACAGAGUCUGACAAGAUUGCAUGGACCAAGGCCAUUAGACAAGCUCUUUUAGUCACCAAAGAACCAACAGGGAGGAAAACUGCCCAGAAGCCCAUCAUAGAAAACCAUGUAGAAGUUCUUCAAGCCAACACCAACGCGGGUAACAACAACGGUCUCUCUCUACCAUCACCGACGAGUGACUCGUCGUCAGCCGGUAGCGCGAACCCGUCGCUUACGAGUGAGCCCUCGUUAGAGAACGAUGAGGAGUAUGAUGACUGGGGCAGCGCAGAGUUCACGGAUUCGGAAGACGAGAUAUUAGAUCGGGAUUGCUUAUCAGAACCGGUUGAUAUGAACCAAUAUGUGGUGCUUGCAGAGUACAACGUCGUUGAGCCCGGGGAGCUUGCCGUGCAGGAGGGGGAGAUCGUUGACGUCCAGAAGGUCGGUAAAGCGGGUUGGUGGCUGGUUCGGAAACACACCAGCAACGAACAGGGCUGGGUGCCAGCCAGCUACCUGGAAAUGCUUGCUAGUCGCAUCUCACGUUCAAACCACUCCCUUAGCAGUCAAGACUCCUUCUACAUCUGAGGAGGUCAGCUGAUUAUUGAUCAGUGGGCUAUAGAGGGAGCCCUUCAAAGAGAGUCCGGAUGAACGGUAAACACAAAAGAGAGAAUGGAAAGAGAUGAGACUCCUUCACUCCCUCAAACUUUCUUCGUUCGUGUGCAGGCCAACUAAUUGGACACUGUAUAGCGCCAUCUAGUGGCUA